rnacentral:lncRNA from 1 species
UCGCUUGCACUAGUUAGGGCUCACAUAAGCUCCAAUCUGGUCGACAACAUCCCCAACACGCCCAUAGAAUCCCACAAUGCUGUGAUUGUUCGGGGCCGCUACACGGAAAGGAGUAUUGCCCGCAGCUUGUUUCCCGUAUGGUCCGUAGGUGUUAACAUUGGUUACAAUUGUAAGAGACGUCACAACAGUGUGGACUCCGUCGUAGUUAUUACCAGUUGUCCCAUAGAUCUCCUUCACGGUCUCUGAAGGACCAAACUGUAUGGGCUGUAAGGAAAGGUAUGAAUGCAUGAAUAUAUGACCAUAUACAAGUAUUUAGACUUUAAGAUACAAAAAACAGCAUCCUUUAAAAUCCACUCACCGGUUGCUUGGACUUUCCAGCAUCACCACCCCAUGGACCAACUGCCCGCUUCUGGCCAGAUUGGUCAGUGUAGGAAAAUGCAAUUGUUUGGAUGAAAUUGUUAUUAGCGUAUAUUGUUACGCUUUCAAGACGUUGAGGUUGCUCUGCACCUUGGAUUUCAUAAGGUCUCCCUCCAUUCCCACCCCACGGCCCAAUCUUUUGGACGGGCUUCUGUUAGAGCUUAGAGAGGACAUCGUCAAAUGAUAAACUCACAAAUGUUGUUGGAAUUAUAGAUCAACAUGAACAUGAGUAUAUAUCUCACCGGCAUUGGGAUGGUGAGGCACAUAACACGAAUACGAAGUUCAUUAAUGAGCACUCCACUAAUGGUCUGAAUCCUUUUGUAGCUGCAAACACCUUGUGCAUACACAAACUCUCCGGUCCCUCCCACAACUGCCCAAUCACCUUCAUCCCCAAGAGUCCCAGGUCCAAGAAGCCAAGUUUGAACCUAUGCCAAGUUUGUAAAUAUAGCAGACACAUAUGUUAGAGCAAAGCAUAUAGACAUAGAUUACUGAAACUUAAUCAAAUGUGUGACCAACAAAAUGUGUUACUAAAAUCGAUGAACGAACCUCUGAUCGGUGAACACCACGAUGAAAGAACCAUACCAACUUUCGGUGCUUUUCCUGGCGGCGAUGCCCACACCCUGCAACCGUGCAACAACCGUUGCCUUGUUGUCAGGAGCAUCACGUAUGUCCCAGUCCGUAACAUUCGUGCAACCAAAAUGAUUGGGAAGUCCUUUGGAGGGCAGUACUAUGGUAUGUUCGUUAGUGCCGUGCUGCUGAAACGCGUAUAGGUGGAAGAGAUGCUCCUGGUGCUGCACCGGUGAGGUAACAGACGCAGAAGUCUGGUAAUAGGAAGGGUUAGCAGCCAUGGCAAUGCUGACAGGAUUUUUUUUGGGAUGCUUGAUGUCUAGGGUGCUUUGUGUAGUGCGUUGGCUGUGGAAAGGGGUGUAGUGAAGGGGGGGCAAUUUAUAGGCGUCUGUGGAAAGGGGUGUGACCCUUUUUAUUGCAAUAGAUUAUGCGUUAAUGUGUGUUGCAGGCUGAGUCCAUGCAUACCUCACAUGGCCUACACUUAUGAUACGUCUCUGCAUGCCAACUGCACAUAAAAUAUUAAAAUGCUCAUUAAAAUAUUAAAAUGCCGACUGCAUGGCAUUCAUUAUUUUUUAAAAAAAAUUGAGGUGCUGGUAGCGCAUGAAUGAGGCAGCGGGUUAGCUCAGCUGCUCAACCGUUUGGUAGAUGAGAAACAUCAAGAGGGUGAAAUAAAUGCUGCGGCUGCUUUACUGGCCGUCGGAAGAUGAGAAACAUUACUGUACGCUGUUGAUAAGCAAGAAACUUCAAUUUGGUGAAAUGCUGAAGCAUAUGUACUGCGCUGUCACAUCCUGAAAUUUUCAAAUUUUAGGAGGUGAAUAAAAUGAUUAAUUAAACAAUGAUUUUCUCAUAGAUUUUAAAUUUUUUUCAACAUUUAUUUUUCUUUACAUGAAAUUUAGUAUAGGAAAAAUAAUUGUUUAUUUUUCUAAAAUUAAAUAAGGUUGUUCUGUGUCUUACAUUCAUGCCAAUGCAUCUUGAUAUUUUUUGAGUGCAAAAAGUUUCAAAAAUACGUCUAAAAAAGUUUCAAAAAUGCGUUUAGGCGAUGUCCAGACCCUUCCGAGAAUUUUCUAGUUUUUUAUGGAAUUUAUUCUCUUUCUCCUAGAGCUAAAUCCAAUUUUUUUUGGAUGGUUCUAGAAUUAUUUUCAUGAGUUCUAAGUAUUUUAUUUGGACUCCUCGUGUCCCAAACUAUUUCUAUGAAUUUUCCUGGAAUUUUUGAAAUUUUUAGAGUAUUUUUCGUGACUCUAUGGAAUUAUCUCGAUUUUUUUGGGUUUUUCCUUUCACGAGAAAUCAUUUCUGAAAAUAAUCUAACCUAUCCAAUCCUACCGGGCCAAGCCCGUGGGCCCAACCCACUCCAAUCAGCCAUGCCGCAGGCCCACCUAGCCCAUCCGGGCCCAGCAGCUGCUGCCGAACUGCCCUCGAUCGGGACUCGGUCGUGCAUCACCGCCGCCAAUUUUGUUGGCGUGCGUGCCAUGCUGGGCGCGGUUCCAUGUGCCUAUAAAGGGCGAGGUCGAGCCUUGCGGCCCCUACUGCUCCUUAAGCCAAUGCCCUCCUGAUGCUCGCCUCAUCUAGCGCUGCCUUCGCGAGCUACGCAGAGUUGAGCGCCAUGGCCGCCGCCGGUUUUCCACUCGAUUCGCCGCGUCGAAGCGCUGCUAGAGCAAGCCGAUGCUGCCACAAGCUUCGAAAGACUGAGCCACGCCCAUUUCACCUGUCCCCGACACCGACCAUCCAUUGGAGCGCCGCCGCCGCGGAGGAGUCUGAGCCGGCCGCCGCCAGCUUCUGUCCGCCCGAUUCCAGCCGGUUCCAUGUCUUCAACCUCGGUGAGCACCUCCCCCUGCACCACCUCCACCUCCUUACGCCGCCUGCGUAGCCUGCAUGCUGCCACGGGGAACCCCGACCAGCCUGACGUCGGCGAUUUUGGUCAGCCGAGUGAAUUGGCCUGAUCCGAUCGAGAGGUUGAAGAAGACGGCAGUUUGCGGUUUAGCCCCUGGAGAACCCUGUAGUUUUUCCUCUUUUCUUUGUAUCUUGGCAAACUUGCAGUCAACCCCCUGGAUCUAUUAGAUUCCCUAGAUCCAGUCCAGCCCCUGCAGUUUUGCAAAUCUAACCCUAUCCUUUAACCUUUUCACGAGCACUAUUCCUUGUGCCUUGCCAAUCUUCCUUGCUAACCCCUAAGGUAUACGAUUAAUUACGUUUAGGCCCUUGCAACAUUGGUUAACCCAUAGAUUCUACGUUUUAGCUCCAUUUUGAUCCGUUCAAGUUGCGUUAGAUUCAUAACAACAUAAUUACACGUUAGUGGUAAUGUUUUCCUUCAUGCAUGUUUUUGAAAAUAAAUUUGAUAUUAAAUUGAUUAAUGCUUGAUAAACGCGUUUCUUCUCUAAAUAACAUCUACUUAGAGUUAUAAACCACUUUUCAUAAUAAACAUCAAUUUGAGUAAUGUCUACUUCAUAUCCUUUUCUAAAUAAAAGCCAAUUAGGUUAUAUAUCGGUCUUUCAUAAAAUAAACUAAAGUUAAUUUGAUUAACGCUUAAUUAAAUAAUUUUUUCUAAUUAAAAGCCAAUUAGAGAUAUACCUCGGCUUUUCAGAAAUUAAAUUAAAUUUGAUUAAUAUUUAUUCAAUUUGCCUUCAUAAUAAAAGCUACAUAGGUUACAUCUCGAAUUUUCAUAAUUAAAUGUUAAUUUGGCUAAUAUAAAUACAAAUGUGUUUUUAAAUUAUAAUUUGAUUAGUUGAACCCGAAUCAUAAAGUUAUGGGCUUAGAUGUUUAGAUGUACUUUAUUUUUAAAUUAAAUAUUAGUUUGCAUAAAUUGUACUUAAGUAUUUAUAAAUAAAAUUGGACAUAUUUUCUUAUGAAAAUUUAAAUAUGAUUUAAUUAACUCUAACUAAGGAUGUGUCUCCGAAAUAUCUUUACAUUAUAUCUCAACUAAAAUAAAUGAAGCAUGUAGCUCUUGUUUUUUCUUUUAUAAUUCAAAUAUCUGAUAGGUUUAUCUUUUCUAACCAUAGUUCCGUUCUCAAGUUUCUUGCGUUUGCGUGAUCCUAGAAUUAAGCCCUAUCCUUUAGUACACUCUUUUAAAACCUUUCUUUUGUUUUGGUGUAUUGUUCUUAGUUGUACUUGUUUGCUUGUUUGUUUGUCUGUGCUGAUGAUUGCUUUGAGUAGAAGGAUCAUUGCUCGAAGGUUUUGAAGAGUAAGAGUUUUAAGAGAGCAAGAGCCGAAGAGCAGUACCAGUAACUUUUCAUUGGAGAAAGGCAAGUGUGUCCUUGUGCUUUUGUCCCAAUAACUUUAUUUAAUCACUAUUGCAUAUCCUGUUCUAUUAAGGUUUGCUUAGUUUUUAUGAUCAUUCCUUAUCAACCUGAGUUUAUCUUUCUAUUGGGGGUAGCUAUGCUUAGCUGCUAUACUUGGGUUAUGGUGGUUCUAAUGAACAAUAUGAUGAACUUAUCUUUCAUAUGCUAUACGUUUCUUUAAUACAAGAUCACUAUGUUUAAUCGGAACACGGAGAACCACCUAGGAAAACAGUGCUACCACAAGACUAAAUGGCUCUGAUCUUGGCUGAAUAAUUAGAAAUCUUAGUCUGGGGUAAUCUUACUCGAGAAGAGGCAAGAGGGGGGGACUGAGUCGUUGCAUAAUCGGCCCUCGGGAGGUUAUGCGCGCCAGACACCGAAACCUUAGCGGAUUACCACUUACUAGCAAAUCUUUGUAAAGGUCUCAUAGUGUCCCUAUGCAAUCACACCUUGGAAGUAUGGUAUGAUGCCUAGCUAGCAUCGCAUGGUUGGGUCCAAAGUUCUUUGAACUUUUACGCGACUUGUGGGUAAAGAUGUGCAACCUCUGCAGAGUGUAAAACUGAUCGAUUAGCCGUGCUCACGGUCAAGAGCGGCCUGGACCCUCACAUGAUUAAUAUACUUGAAGAUGGACUUAAAUCAUGGUUUAUGCUAUGGUUAUGUUCUGCCAUAUGUUUAUGGCUUAUGUUUAUGUUAAUGUUAAUUGUGGGUUGGAAUAUACUUAUACCUUAGUAAUCAGGUGCUAAUAAAACUUGACCAACUAAAAAUGCUUAAUGCAGUCAACCAGUCAGCCUUUCCUUGUUUAAGCCCUGCAUUCAUAUUCUCCUCACACUUGUUGAGUACGAUAUGUGCUCACCCUUACUAUAACCAAUAUUUCUCAGAAGAAGAAGCUGCUAUGAAGUUGUUAUGAAGAUGAUGCUGAGUUCUAGGCGUACACAGCCCCCAGUCGAUUGCCUGUGAAGUUUGGAACCUCCGUUUCCAGGAUUAACUGUAUAUCUCUGAUGGUUUCAUAAGUCUUUAUUGUGUUUCUUUACGUGAUACCGUCUCUGUUAUUCACUAAUGAUGUCACUAUAUGUAUGAAACUAGAUCCUGAUAUACAUAUAGGCAGUACUUGGUUUUAUUCUAAAAUCAGGUGUGACAUGCUGGUGAUUGUCAAAGAAACUUCACGUACAUGCAAAUAAGGUCACUGUUUUUUUAAAAAACUUGCCUAAUCACUGAUGGAGAACUCACUUUUAGUCUCGGUUGGUAGAGAGCAAAUCUCCCAAAAAAUCAUCCGGGAUAAAGCAAUCGAGACAAAAAGGAGGGGGGGGGGUCUUUUGUCCCGGGUCACUCAACCGGGACUAAAGACCCCCUUUUAUUCCGGUUGGUAAGACCAACCGGGACUAAAGGGGCUGCCACGCCAGGCGCAGGACAUGCCCCUUUAGUACCGGUUGGUUUUCCAACCGGGACUAAAGUGCAUCCGCAAAAUUACAGGCACGCACCAUGCAGGUGCCUGCAUGGCGCCUGUAAUUUCAUGCAUCAUGUACCCCUUUAGUAAUUGAGAGUUUUUUUAAUGAAAUCAAACUAGUAUUUAAACGAAUCAAACUAAUAUUUAUACAAUUACUAUAUGUAUAAUUGUUAGUAUAUAUACAAUUCUUAAUUAGCACACUAUACAAUAACCUUAGCGUAUUAUAUAUAAAUAUUCAAACUAUAGUGUUUACAUAAAAAUUUUCCCGGACAUUCCUAGGAUCGAUCUUCCCGUCGAGGUGUUGCUCGGUGCGUCUUAAUUUCAUCCAUCGUAAUGAAAUUCUUAUUGUGAAUUUAUCACCUCGUCCACCAGAAAUCCUACGAGACCUUCACAUAUUGCCCCUAUUCUUUCCUUCUCCAAGAUGCUAUGUUGAAUAUUAUGCAUCUGUAAUUUGGAAAUAUGUGAAUAAUGUUACACGAACAAUUAAAUAUAAGGAGCUAGAAAAUAAUUAACUAUUAAUAGUUUUAUUUUGCAUACUUUUUUCAUGCUCCCUCAACCUAGCCUUGUAUGACACAAAACGGUGCAUGUUCUCACAGACGUAGUUGCCACAUAGAUCAUUCCCGGGUUCCUAUAUAAAACAUUUAAGUGGGGAAAGGAACAAGUUAUGAAAUAUUAAUGAUAUAGAAUGUACAAAAUGUGCAAACUUCAUAUGUAAGUUUUUCUUUGAAUGCACCUUUGUGUUUCUUGAGUAAUUGUCUCCAUGCGCUAUGGAUUAAAAUAAUGAAUGAUACAGUGUUAGGCGAAAAUUUAGGAAACAAACUUUUCCAUUGAGAUAAAGGUCCAGAAUUAUUAUAAGUUUAGCAUAUCUUGAAUCUCUUGGUACUCCGCCGGUGGUUUCCUCAAGGAAUCAAAGACAGUGACGUGGCUUCUAUCAGGCUCAAUUAUUAUGAGGAUCCGGUGAAAACUGUUGGCGCAGAAAAUCGGACGACGGGCCCGACUCUUGCGUCGAACACACGAUCCGGGAGAAUCUGCUUAACUCAUGUUCGGGUUGUCGCCCUGGUGCAGUUCACGCGGCGUGCUAGUCAAUCUGACCUGUUGAUUGACAAGGGAGAACAGGUGUUAGAUUUCAGAGAUCCGAUCGACUGGAGUUCCGAUCUACUCUAAAGAACGUAUCGGCGGAUUGGCCGAUAGAAUGUAAGGAUGACCAGCUAUAAAGCAGCUGAUAAUCACAUAGAAAAUGUAAAGGAGACUACUAGAGCAACCUAAACAAUGCUACAGAGACAACACUUGAAACAAAAAUCUAAUCAGCUCUAUGGUAAUAAGUAACAUAUUGAUAUAGCCGAUAGUUCGUGCCUCAACUUGGAUAACUGGUGAUAAAAGCUAAAAUAAUAGGCAAAACCUAUAGUUCUAGCAAAUAUCGAUAACUGGUGAAUAAGUCUAAACAAGACGACAGCGAUGCGCCUGAAGUCAAAGCUUAGAUGUUACUCGAAACACGGAACUUACAAAUUGGCUGGAGGUCAAGCUGAUGCAGUCCUGCCAACUCGCACGAACUCGUGAGAAAGAAAAAAAGCUUGGUGAAGUCACCGACUCGAAAGUAGAGUUGCGUGAAAAAGUAGGUUUGUAUUGAUUCUUUUGAUCUCCCAUUGCCAACCUCACGAGACACCUAUUUAUACCCUGUUACAACACGUUUCCUAGUCGACUACAACUCAGUAGUCUAUUUCUUAUUCCACCUUUAAAAGGAUACUUCACCUUGCAGAUUUGCAACCCAGGAUAUUUCUUUCCACCAUCUCUUUCUUUUUAAGAAAAAAAGGAAAGAUCCCCUUACAAUUUCUACAUGAAUUGGAAUCUGCAGCAAUAAUUAUUGGAUUCAUGGACUGAAACUUCAAUAUUCAUGUUUGGGGAUACCAUCUGCUAGUAGAACUUAUAAUAAAUAAAAGACACUAAAUCUUCAGAGGGGGAAAAAAAAAAGCUCACCGGCGAGUCGUAGGCGGCCACCACCCGACCGCCGGGCGAUGUCCUCGGCGACCACCGUGCCGCGGGUCCGCGCAUCGUGCUCCCCGUCCCUCCUCCGCAGGUGGUGCCGCAGCAGACAGCAGUCAAACGAUGGGCCACCGGCCAAUCCAAAGCUUAUACCAGCGUCUCUCGCGGAAGUGCAGGCACGACGGGCUGGGCCGAAAAAUGUGCUGGGGAAGCCCACCUACUUUGUUUUUGAAACGAACCUCAGUACCUUUGCAACGCCAAGGCUAAAGCAAAGACGAUUUUGGCUUGCCAGUUGCCACAAAUCGGUUUGCACUCAAAAAAAAAAAAAAAUAACAACCUCUCAUACGAAGACAAAAUUUCAACAUACGGACAGCAGUAAUCAAUCCAGAUAUAAAAUCAUUAUUUUGAGACGAAUAGUAUUCUUUCAGGGUUCAAUAUCGUCAACCAGCGGUAUUACUGAUUGUAGAGAACUUAUCUUCCAUCCAACCCAUUUUAUCCCGGUUAAUAUUGGAACCGGGAUUAAUAGCCCCGGGUCAAAAAUGAGGUACCAAAAGGACACCGACGGGAGGAGUUGUAAAGAUUUGGCACCGACGCAAAGAGGGGGCGUUGCGCGGCUCGAGGGAGCUUCUCCCAGGCUCUCCUCUCCACUUAUCUCAUCCUCAUCCUCCUCUCAAGCUUCUUUUCCUCUCCUCCUCCUCCUCCUUCUCCUCAUCAGUGGAGAUCUCCACCGGCGCUCCCCUCCUCCCCGUCUCUGCACCGCCCCCGCCCCCUCCCCCUCUGCUCCCCUCCCCUUCCCCCUCUGCUUGCCCCUCACUGGCAGUAAGGCGCGACAGCGGGGCGAGGGCAGGGUAGCGGUCGAGCAGCGGCGGGCGGGCGGGCGGAGGCAAGCGGUGCGGUGGGCGGCGCAGCGGGCGGAGGCGGGCAGCCAUCAAGUGAGGGCGGGCGGUGGCGGGGCGGAGGCGGGUGAGCGACGGGCCAGCGACGGUUUGCUACUUUUUUUUAAUUUUUUUUUGAAACCUUUUAGUCUCGGUUGGUGUACCAACCAGGACUAAAGGGGAUCUUUAGUUCCGGAUGAAUGAUCUGGGAAUAAAGAACCCCUUUUGUCUCGAAAAAUUAAUUCUGAUUGGGCAUUGGAGAGAUAUGACCCUUACCAACUGGAACUAAUGCUCACUUUUCCACCCGUGGUAGUUGCAUGCAUAAUGCAAGCUUUGCUCUAUUUGUCUGAUACGACAGGAGUAUGAAAAAAAAAGCAAAUUGUAUUGCCGCUUCUGUGUUUGAUGUUGCCACGCUUCUACUAGCUAGCAUCACUAAAGUAAAGUACAAUCCCGACUUCAGUGUCAGGAGCAUCACGUACGUUCCAAUCCGUAACAUUUUGUGCAACCAAAAUGAUUGGGAAGUCCUGACUUCCCCGGCACUAUAUUAUAUUCGUUAUUGCCCAUAUGCUGAAAUGCGUAUAGGUGGAGGAUGCUCCUGGUGCUGCACCUGUGACCUAACAGAUGGAGAAGUCUGGUAAUAUGAAGGGUUAGCGCCAUGGCACGCUGAUGACAAGCAUUACACCAGAAACGAUCUGUAUUAGCACCUUGAUUUUUGAGUGCUGGCGGGUAUGAAUGCCACCCACUAGUACAAAAGGUGUAGUGGCUAGCCCAUUAAAACCCGUCACUGCAAAUGCAUUUGUGUUGGCGGGUGACAUGACAACCCGUCACUGCAAAUGCAUUUCAAAUUGUAUUAAUGGGGAGGGCAAAAAAAUUCUAACUAGCCAAAAACUUAAUCAUACAUAUCCAAAUAUAUUCUUAACAUGUAUUAGACUAUGUAUAUGCAGUUGUAUAGGAGUUUCAAAAUUUUUAGAAGGGAUUUGCAAUUUUCUAGAUUUAAACUAUUAUAACCAUGCUUAUUGAAAUUAAUUGAUAUUUGAACUAAUCUUUUCACAAGUAAGAUUCAAAAAUUGCAGAAAAAUGACAAUAAGGAAACAUGUUCCAUUUUAGCUCAAAUCAUGAAAGUGCAUUUGAAAUUUCACAAGUUUCUUAAUGUAUUUAUCACUUCUAUUACAAGUUGUUGUGGAAAAAAUUAUAAUAAUAUCAAAAUAUGGUGUGAAAAUUAUAUAAAUUGGUAGGGAGUCAUUUUGUGAACCCACAACCUUAACAUAAAAGUUUCAAUAUAUUUUACAAAAAUUAGACUAUACAUUAUUCACAAAUGUAUACUUUACUAACAAUAUUUCAUAUAACUCAAGUCACACUUUAAACUUGUCAACUAACUUAGCAAAAACAAUUGUCAUAUAUAUCAUGGUAUAAUUUUUACAUGUAUAAUACUGUAUAUAUAUUAUGUUGUACAAGAUUCAAUAGCUUUUAAACUAAUUUACUUGCCUAAAAAAAUUUAAAAAAAGAAAAAUGUAUAUAGAUUUGUCACCCGCCAGCACGAAGGUCAAAAAAUUUUCAUGAACAGAAUGGGCAGUGAAAAAAGUGGUGCGCUUGAGCAGCCAUGCCUCUUCUUAUCUCCUCCUCUCUCUGCCGCUCCCUUUAUCUCUUUCUUUUACUGCUGUUCUCCCAUCUCCCAUCUCUCUCCCUUAUCUCUCCAGGUGCUGGCGCGUCCGGGCAGCGAUAAUGGCGGCCGGCCUAUAGGCGCCAGUGGGAGUGGUACUCGGCGCAUGCGGACUGCGGCAACAGCGGCCGGUGGGAGCAGCGGCCAGUGCGUGCACGACAGCAGCUGGCGCGGCCGAGCCGUGGGAGCGAUAGUUGGCCCGCGCAGGUUUGAGAUGGCUCCGGUGGUGCGGCUAGUGGAGGUGCAGUGCAGUUAUGGAGGCUCGGCGCUACGUUCAACGGCAAAUACGAUUAGUUUUGUUAGUUUCCUCUUCCUCGCGUGAUGUAGUGAAUUUCGAACCACGGGUUCAAUUCAUGCAAGGGAGGGUUGAUUUGCUUAGGAUCCUUUUAUUUUUCAUCAAUUUUCCCCUUGCUUUGUCCUUAGAUAAAACCGAGGUGCUGCUCCGGCAAGGACGGCGGCUUGUGCGGGUGGCAUGCAGGGGAUGGGCAUGCAGGCGCAACAACACGAAGACACUAUAGGUGGAGGUAACUGGCCGUGCGGCAUGGAGGAGGACGGUGGGCUUCCUCGGAUGGUGUGAGCAGCACAGCUGCCGGAAGCCGUGGGACGACGACAUGGCUGGCGUCGACUGCGGCAUGGGGAUGCAGACUUCCUAGGAUGACGCGAGCAUGGCGGCUCGGGAGAUGGCAGCCUAAGGUGAAACGUGCUGCAGCGCGGCAACGGAUGCGGCCGCACGAAUGGCUGCAGCUAGAUUUUUUUGUUUCCUAAAAAAAUAUCUUUGCUGGGGCUACAUAAGCACCCGCGAGCAUAGGGCGCACCGGCACUGGCGGACGGACAUCGGCACUGGCGGACAGACACCAUGCUGAUAGUGAGUUGUUGGCGGGUGACAGACCCGCCAGCAGAAACCGGUUUUAGCCGCCACUACAAAACUUUUUUGGCCUAGUGAGGGUUUACGGUCGUUUGAUGUAUAGGGUGCUUUGUGUGCGUUGGCUUUGGAAAGGGAUGCAGUUGGUUGGGGGUUGGACAAUUGAUAGGUAUCUUUAGAUGUGCUAUUGUUAAUUUGGAGGAUAGUAUAAUAAGACCAUUGAACGCAUUAGAGUUGAAUGCUAAUGUGUGUUGCACGCAAAGUCCAUGCAUAUCCCACAUGGCCUAUAAUUAAUUAACAUGCCACUUAUGACGCUAUUGUCUACACUAGUGCUUCAGCACUAUGUAGUUGAUGUGUAAUAGAUUCGAGUUGCAUGCCUAUCACCCAGUGACCCAGAUCAUGUGAUGGGCUACACGUUGCAAGUUACUUUGUAUUAACGUAGGUUAAUUUUUAAUCUAGCUCAAUAUACUCAAUCCAUCAAUCGACUUUCUAGUAGAUUGUAAGACAGAACGUGGCACACGUAUCGUUGGGAAUAUAAUCCUAGAUAACCUAAGGUAGAAGUUAGAGUUCUACUAGAACUUUCCAUUUACCAUUACAAUCUAUUAGAACUCCUACAUUUUAACUGAACAGGGGAUUUGACAUAUAAGGAGGGGUAGGCAGGGGUACCCCUAGGAGGAUGAAUAGGGAACUUGGCAUGUACAACCCGGUCAUCUGACUACGGAGGUGUGUCUGGUAUCCAGAGGCUGAAGCUGCCUGAGACCACCAAUGGAAUCCGACAACCUAAGGUAGAAGUUAGAGUUCUACUCGAACUUUCCAUUUACCAUUACAAUCUAUUAGGACUCCUACAUUUUAACUGAAUAGGGGAUUUGACAUAUAAGGAGGGGUAGGCAGGGGUACCCCUAGGAGGAUGAAUAGGGAACUUGGCAUGUACAACCCGAUGAUCUGACUACGGAGGUGUGUCUGAUAUCCAGAGGCUGAAGCUGACUGAGGCCACCAAUGGAAUCCGACAGAUGAGUGAUAUCUUAAUUUGCAUCCUCUAAGGGAGAGGAACUUGAGGUGUCAUAUAAUUAAGAACACAAUAUGACCAUUGUAAGGCAUCCAUGGGCCAACAAAACACUCCUUUAAAACAUUAUUAGCACACAUGCAAGAUACAAGGCUAACAUCGACACUUGAAACUUUAUUUCUCAGGCCAUAUGGAGCCUACAACAUGGCAAUGAUGAAAACAACUAGUAAAGGGAGUCUGACGAGGACAACCCGUGUCUUGUUUGUUAUUACUCACACGGAGUAAUAAAGACUUUAUUAUUCUUAUUAUAAGAUGCACUCGCUUGCACUAGUUAGGGCUCACAUAAGCUCCAAUCUGGUCGACAACAUCCCCAACACGCCCAUAGAAUCCCACAAUGCUGUGAUUGUUUGGGGCCGCUACACGGAAAGGAGUAUUGCCCGCAGCUUGUUUCCCGUAUGGUCCGUAGGUGUUAACAUUGGUUACAAUUGUAAGAGAUGUCACAACAGUGUGGACUCCGUCGUAGUUAUUACCAGUUGUCCCAUAGAUCUCCUUCACGGUCUCUGAAGGACCAAACU